AGCGGGAUAGCUGGGUCAAAUGGUGGUUCCAUUCAAAGUUUUCUAAGGGAUAUCCAUACUGCUUUCCAAAAUAGUUGCACCAAUUUUCAGUCCCACCAGCAAU
rnacentral:pre_miRNA from 1 species